GUGGGGAAUUUUGGACAAUGGGCGCAAGCCUGAUCCAGCAAUGCCGCGUGCAGGAAGAAGGCCUUCGGGUUGUAAACUGCUUUUGUACGGAACGAAACGGUCCUGGCUAAUACCCGGGGCUAAUGACGGUACCGUAAGAAUAAGCACCGGCUAACUACGUGCCAGCAGCCGCGGUAAUACGUAGGGUGCGAGCGUUAAUCGGAAUUACUGGGCGUAAAGCGUGCGCAGGCGGUGCUGUAAGACAGGCGUGAAAUCCCCGGGCUCAACCUGGGAAUUGCGCUUGUGACUGCAGUGCUGGAGUGCGGCAGAGGGGGAUGGAAUUCCGCGUGUAGCAGUGAAAUGCGUAGAUAUGCGGAGGAACACCGAUGGCGAAGGCAAUCCCCUGGGCCUGCACUGACGCUCAUGCACGAAAGCGUGGGGAGCAAACAGGAUUAGAUACCCUUGUAGUCC
rnacentral:rRNA from 1 species